GAGUUUGAUCCUGGCUCAGGACGAACGCUGGCGGCGCGCCUAACACAUGCAAGUCGAACGGAGCUGAGAGGAGCUUGCUUUUCUUAGCUUAGUGGCGAACGGGUGAGUAACGCGUGAGUAACCUGCCCUGGAGUGGGGGACAACAGUUGGAAACGACUGCUAAUACCGCAUAAGCCCACGGUACCGCAUGGUACUGAGGGAAAAGGAUUUAUUCGCUUUAGGAUGGACUCGCGUCCAAUUAGCUAGUUGGUGAGGUAACGGCCCACCAAGGCGACGAUUGGUAGCCGGACUGAGAGGUUGAACGGCCACAUUGGAACUGAGACACGGUCCAGACUCCUACGGGAGGCAGCAGUGGGGAAUAUUGGGCAAUGGGCGCAAGCCUGAUGCAGCGACGCCGCGUGAGCGAAGAAGUAUUUCGGUAUGUAAAGCUCUAUCAGCAGGGAAGAUAAUGACGGUACCUGACUAAGAAGCACCGGCUAAAUACGUGCCAGCCGCCGCGGUAAUUC
rnacentral:rRNA from 1 species